AGAGUUUGAUCAUGGCUCAGGAUGAACGCUAGCGGCAGGCUUAAUACAUGCAAGUCAGGGGCAGCACGGUUAGCAAUAACUGGUGGCGACCGGCACACGGGUGCGUAACACGUAUACAAUCUACCUUAAACAGGGGGAUAGCCUUUCGAAAGAGAGAUUAAUACCCCGUAAUAAAUUGAACGGCAUCGUUUGAUUUUGAAAGCUCCGGCGGUUUGAGAUGAGUAUGCGUCUGAUUAGCUAGUUGGUGAGGUAACGGCUCACCAAGGCGACGAUCAGUAGGGGACCUGAGAGGACUAACCCCCACACUGGUACUGAGACACGGACCAGACUCCUACGGGAGGCAGCAGUAAGGAAUAUUGGUCAAUGGAGGCAACUCUGAACCAGCCAUGCCGCGUGCAGGAUGACGGCCCUAUGGGUUGUAAACUGCUUUUAUACAAGAGAAAACCCUGGUACGUGUACCAGGUUGAUAGUAUUGUAAGAAUAAGCAUCGGCUAACUUCGUG
rnacentral:rRNA from 1 species